UGUAAAUAAGGGGAUCUUUGCUGAGCUGUCGACUGCGAGUUGUAUAUAUUGUCUGCAUCGUGACGAAACUGAAUGGAAAAAAAAUAUGACACUGUAUAUGGCCUCCCUACACUACACAAAUCAUUCAAGAUCUUAGCGCCAUCUU